GACGCUAUCGUCUAGUGGUUAGGACAACGGGUUUUCAUCCCGUAGGCCGGAGUUCAAUUCUCCGUAGCGUUACCA
rnacentral:tRNA from 1 species